CCACCCUCCCGACCCAUCCCGAUCUCACCUUCUUCUGGCUCCCAGCACGGCUCUGCCCCCAUCCUCUCACCGCUCCUGACACCGCCGGCCCCCGCCCGCUCCCCGGCUCCUGGCGCCGCCCGUCCCCAUCUCCCCCCGGCUCCCUGCGCCGCCCACACCCCACCUUCUCCUCGGAUCCCGGCGACUCCUCGCCCCCACCUCCUUCCUUGCUCCCGGCGCCCAAUCUCCUAGGAUCCCGGCGACGCCUCGCCCCCACCUCCUUCCUCGCUCCAGGCACCGCCCGACCCCCAACCUCCCUGGAUCUGGCGUCACUCCACCACCACCUCCUACAUCCCAUAGCAGCGGUCGCCCCUGCCGCCUGUGUGCGCCUCCGUCAUCCUCCCGGCGCCGGUUGUGCGCAUCGCCCCACGCCGCCUGCCACGCGAGCGCCCACCCCAAACCGCUGGCUCGCCGGCUUGCCAGGCAACCGCUGGCUUGUUCUUCCUCUGGCCACCGCUAGCUCGCCGGCCGUUCACCUUCGCCACCUACUGAAGGUCGGCUUUUUGAAAUAGCCAUCAUGUAUACAACAACUACGGCAGUGGCCUUGGAUGCGCCCAACGAAGGACAACGAUAGGCAAAAAAAUGCUAGUGCAGCUGCUUGCCUCCUCUUCAUAUUCCAUACCAGAAAACAUCCUUCGCCCCUUUAUUUUCUUUACAUCCUCCCAAUCCGCUCGAUCUCGUCCUGCUCCGGAGCAUGCUUCAGUUCAACAAAAAGCUCCGGAAAAGUUCAGAGUUCGGAGUACUUUGCAUUCAUGGGCUAAAGUCGUGGAUUGCGCCCUGCACGUCGUUUCGCAAUGAGCCAGGAUAGAGGUUGUUGGACACUGUCGUGCACGCCGUGAGCAGCUGUGGCCGUUGGACACCCGUUCGGAGUUUUGGCCAAGAACCAUCGUCGGCCAGUAGGGUGUCACCUGAUUUUCGUGCAACAACGACAACUUGGUAAGCCUUGCAUAGACAGGCUUCGCAAUGAUGAAUGCAUGAAGAUCUUUGUAGGUCCUGGCGACUGUGAUAAAGGCAAGUGCUUAAGUGGUUUUUGCUGAAGAAGAAUGGCCUAGCUUACCUGGCGUAGCAGUACUCAAAGUCAAGUAUCGAUGAUGUGGAAGCAUUGAAACUUUUCCUAGUUGCUUGACUUCAAUAACUAUGCCUUUUGAGAUCGUACCAUUUGGUCAUCUUAUGGCUUUGUAUCGAACUUCUAGUCAUCAUGUUACAACCGUUCGAUGAAGAAAAUACAUUAGUCCAAAAGCAUGCAGGUGCUAAUGCUGCAGCGAUCUCGUUCGCAGCCGCAAGGAUCUUGUUCUGUUUA